UCCAGUUGAUCCUGCUGGAGGCCGCUGCUAUUGGGAUUCGAUUAAGCCAUGCAAGUCCAGGGGUUCUUCGGAACACCGGCAAACUGCUCAGUAACACGUCGAUAAUCUGCCCUUAGGUCAGGCAUAACCUUGGGAAACUGAGGCUAACACCUGAUAUGGAAAUUCUACUGCAAUGUGUUUUUCUAGAAAAUACGUGCCUAAGGAUGAGUUGGCGGCGGAUUAGCUUGUUGGUGGGGUAAUGGCCCACCAAGGCGAAGAUCCGUAGGGGCCUUGGAAGAGGUAGCCCCGAGAAGGGCACUGAGAUACUGGCCCUAGCCCUACGGGGUGCAGCAGGCGCGAAACCUUUACACUACACGAAAGUGUGAUAAGGGAAUCCCAAGUGCCUAUACUCUGUAUAGGCUUUUUUUCAAGAGUAAAGAUCUUGGAGAAUAAGUGGUGGGAAAGACUGGUGCCAGCAGCCGCGGUAAUACCAGCGCCACAAGUGGGGGCCGUGAUUAUUGGGCCUAAAGCGUUCGUAGCUGGUUCUGUUAAUCUUUUGUGAAAAUCGUUGGGCUUAACCUAACGGCGUGCAGGAGACACUGCAGAACUUGGGACCGGGAGGGGUUAGAAGUAUUUUUGGGGGAGCGGUAAAAUGCAGUAAUCCCAAGAGGACUACCUGUGGCGAAGGCGUCUAACCAGAACGGGUCCGACAGUGAGGAACGAAAGCCAGGGGAGCAAACCGGAUUAGAUACCCGAGUAGUCCUGGCCGUAAACGCUGCGAGCAAGGUGUUGCAUAUUCUAACAGGAAUGUGCAGUGUCGAAACGAAGGUGUUAAGCUCGCCGCCUGGGAAGUACGGUCGCAAGACUGAAACUUAAAGGAAUUGGCGGGGGCUCACUACAAGGGGUGCGGCGUGCGGUUUAAUUGAAUUCAACACCGGAAAUCUCACCAGGAGCGACGGCAGGAUGAAAGUCAGUCUGAAGGGCUUACUUAACGAGCCGAGAGGUGGUGCAUGGCCGUCGUCAGCUCGUGCCGUAAGGUGUCCUGUUAAGUCAGGCAACGAGCGAGACCUGCAUCUACAAUUGCCAACAGCACUAUCAGUGGACUGGGCACAUUGUAGAGACCGCCUGGGAAACCAGGAGGAAGGUGCAGGCUACGAUAGGUCUGUAUGCCCCGAAUCCUUUGGGCUACACGCGCGCAACAAUGGUAGGGACAAUGGGAUGCAACUCUGAAAAGAGGAGCUAAACCUCGAAACCCUAUCUUAGUCCAGAUUGAGGGCUGCAACUCGCCCUCAUGACGUUGGAAUCCCUAGUAAUCGGACGUCAAUAGCGUCCGGUGAAUACGUCCCUGAGCCUUGCACACACCGCCCGUCAAGCCACCCGAGCAGGGUCUAAGUGAGGCCUAGCCUUUUAGCUAGGUCGAACUCGGGCUCAGUGAGGAGGGCUAAGUCGUCACAAGGUA
rnacentral:rRNA from 1 species